GACGAACGCUGGCGGCGUGCUUAACACAUGCAAGUCGAACGGAAAGGCCCUGCUUUUGUGGGGUGCUCGAGUGGCGAACGGGUGAGUAACACGUGAGUAACCUGCCCUUGACUUUGGGAUAACUUCAGGAAACUGGGGCUAAUACCGGAUAGGAGCUCCUGCUGCAUGGUGGGGGUUGGAAAGUUUCGGCGGUUGGGGAUGGACUCGCGGCUUAUCAGCUUGUUGGUGGGGUAGUGGCUUACCAAGGAUUUGACGGGUAGCCGGCCUGAGAGGGUGACCGGCAACAUUGGGACUGAGAUACGGCCCAGACUACUACGGGAGGCAGCAGUGGGGAAUAUUGCACAAUGGGCGGAAGCCUGAUGCAGCAACGCCGCGUGCGGGAUGACGGCCUUCGGGUUGUAAACCGCUUUCGCCUGUGACGAAGCGUGAGUGACGGUAAUGGGUAAAGAAGCACCGGCUAACUACGUG
rnacentral:rRNA from 1 species